CUCGCAAGCAUCAACAGCCUCAAUAAUACGGACUCCCUGCAACGUGGAUACUCUUUCCAGUCUAGCAGCCCUUGGCCGGCAAUGACCCUCUUGCGAACAUCUCUAAAAAUAUUAUAACAGGAUUAACGAGAGUUUGCUACAUUAAGGAAGAUAUAGGAUUUAAAAAAACGAAAUUCUCUCGAAUGAUUGCUUCGAUCGCCUGGAAAAAGAAGGAGGAUCCAAUAAAUUUCUUUUUCAUUCGGAUCAUUUGUCCUCCUGAAUCUAAAAGAACGCGAUUCUCGGGAUUUAGUAUCUGGACAGGCUGGCGCCCGCGUGUGGUGACCCAAGACGAUUCGACCUUCCAAGGACGCAAAACACAUCGUCCUGAAGCAACCUCUCUCCUCUCUUCUCCUUUGCAUAUCGCGUGCAGCGUCGUCUUCUCGACUUGUUUCUCUCCUGGAGAGCGUGGGUGAGCUGCAAGAUCGUAAAUAUACCAAUCGGAUUGCAUUACGUGACGAAAAUAACCUCCUCCACCCGUGCAAGGAAGCGAUACACGAAGGGACACUCCAAAUACGCAUCCUUGGAAAAUCGUUCUCCAGAUCUUCUUUUGCUGAACUCGAAGUUGAAAAUCCUCAUCGAUAUAUGGGGUGAGCUCUUCUGAGAGUCGUGCAGAUUGUUCGAUCGUGCGAUGUCUGGCGUGGCCACAUUCCAGCUUCCGGAUUGGUCGAACUCAUGCGUCAUAAAUCUGCGAUACGUUCCAGUCUUUCUUCACCCUUCAUAGCCCUCGGCAUAAUCGGCCGACAUUACUGGGUUCUCAAACUAUAUAUACUUAAUAUAAAAAUUCUCUCGAAAGUGCACUUUAAAAUAUGUAUGCUGGUACUAUACGCUAUGAUCAAGAUCUUUUGAUUUUUUUCUUUGUACAGAUAUAUAGAUCCGUACGAUCAAAUUAAAUACGAAUGAUUCUAUAGAGAAUUCU